UCCUGGCUCAGGACGAACGCUGGCGGCGUGCCUAAUACAUGCAAGUCGAGCGGACAGAAGGGAGCUUGCUCCCGGAUGUUAGCGGCGGACGGGUGAGUAACACGUGGGUAACCUGCCUGUAAGACUGGGAUAACUCCGGGAAACCGGAGCUAAUACCGGAUAGUUCCUUGAACCGCAUGGUUCAAGGAUGAAAGACGGUUUCGGCUGUCACUUACAGAUGGACCCGCGGCGCAUUAGCUAGUUGGUGGGGUAAUGGCUCACCAAGGCGACGAUGCGUAGCCGACCUGAGAGGGUGAUCGGCCACACUGGGACUGAGACACGGCCCAGACUCCUACGGGAGGCAGCAGUAGGGAAUCUUCCGCAAUGGACGAAAGUCUGACGGAGCAACGCCGCGUGAGUGAUGAAGGUUUUCGGAUCGUAAAGCUCUGUUGUUAGGGAAGAACAAGUGCGAGAGUAACUGCUCGCACCUUGACGGUACCUAACCAGAAAGCCACGGCUAACUACGUGCCAGCAGCCGCGGUAAUACGUAGGUGGCAAGCGUUGUCCGGAAUUAUUGGGCGUAAAGGGCUCGCAGGCGGUUUCUUAAGUCUGAUGUGAAAGCCCCCGGCUCAACCGGGGAGGGUCAUUGGAAACUGGGAAACUUGAGUGCAGAAGAGGAGAGUGGAAUUCCACGUGUAGCGGUGAAAUGCGUAGAGAUGUGGAGGAACACCAGUGGCGAAGGCGACUCUCUGGUCUGUAACUGACGCUGAGGAGCGAAAGCGUGGGGAGCGAACAGGAUUAGAUACCCUGGUAGUCCACGCCGUAAACGAUGAGUGCUAAGUGUUAGGGGGUUUCCGCCCCUUAGUGCUGCAGCUAACGCAUUAAGCACUCCGCCUGGGGAGUACGGUCGCAAGACUGAAACUCAAAGGAAUUGACGGGGGCCCGCACAAGCGGUGGAGCAUGUGGGUUAAUUCGAAGCAACGCGAAGAACCUUACCAGGUCUUGACAUCCUCUGACAACCCUAGAGAUAGGGCUUUCCCUUCGGGGACAGAGUGACAGGUGGUGCAUGGUUGUCGUCAGCUCGUGUCGUGAGAUGUUGGGUUAAGUCCCGCAACGAGCGCAACCCUUGAUCUUAGUUGCCAGCAUUCAGUUGGGCACUCUAAGGUGACUGCCGGUGACAAACCGGAGGAAGGUGGGGAUGACGUCAAAUCAUCAUGCCCCUUAUGACCUGGGCUACACACGUGCUACAAUGGACAGAACAAAGGGCUGCAAGACCGCAAGGCUUAGCCAAUCCCAUAAAUCUGUUCUCAGUUCGGAUCGCAGUCUGCAACUCGACUGCGUGAAGCUGGAAUCGCUAGUAAUCGCGGAUCAGCAUGCCGCGGUGAAUACGUUCCCGGGCCUUGUACACACCGCCCGUCACACCACGAGAGUUUGCAACACCCGAAGUCGGUGAGGUAACCUUUAUGGAGCCAGCCGCCGAAGGUGGGGCAGAUGAUUGGGG
rnacentral:rRNA from 1 species